UGGGGAAUAUUGCACAAUGGGGGAAACCCUGAUGCAGCGACGCCGCGUGAACGAAGAAGGUAUUCGUAUCGUAAAGUUCUGUCCUAUGGGAAGAUAAUGACAGUACCAUAGAAGAAAGCUCCGGCUAAAUACGUGCCAGCAGCCGCGGUAAUACGUAUGGAGCGAGCGUUGUCCGGAAUUAUUGGGCGUAAAGGGUACGCAGGCGGUUUAAUAAGUCGAAUGUUAAAGAUCGGGGCUCAACCCCGCAAAGCAUUGGAAACUGAUAAACUUGAGUAGUGGAGAGGAAAGUGGAAUUCCUAGUGUAGUGGUGAAAUACGUAGAUAUUAGGAGGAAUACCAGUAGCGUAGGCGACUUUCUGGACACAAACUGACGCUGAGGUACGAAAGCGUGGGGAGCAAACAGG
rnacentral:rRNA from 1 species